AAGGAUUUAAGUUAUUAAAACUAGAAACCUUCAAAGUUUCAAAAAAAGAACCCCCCCCCCUCUUUAAUCCUUA
rnacentral:tRNA from 1 species